CACCCAUGCACCUAGCAGAGUCCCUGCCCACCUGGGUCCUCUGCAUCCCACCUUCUCGAUCCACCUGCUCAGCCUGUCAGGAACAGACAUGCGUCUAUUGUCUGCCCAUCUCAUCCAUGCCCACAAGCUCAGACUGGUUCUGCUACAAAUAAUGUGCAUCCUUUUGGCUGGCAACACUUAGUAAAGUUUUAUGCAGCUUUCCUCACCACAUAAUGCUGUCAUUGAAGAGCAAGCUGGACUGACUGGAUGAAGCAGUUAUGAAAUAUACUGUCCAGAAGAGGGAACCAAAAACUCAAAAGAUUUUUUAAAAGGAGCUAUUAAAAUCUCAGACAGUAUUCAAGAGAACAAGAAGAUCCUGUGUGAAACUCAGAACUCUUCUGGGGAGUGUUCCUCCCUUGUUGGCUGCAGAGAACCACACCUGCCCUUUGCGGUGUAAACAAGUACAAUCCUCUGAGAAUCCCAGGUGGUGCACUGGUUUAAAAAAAUAAAUAAGGAGGGGAAGAAGGGUCAAAGGGAGAGGGAGGAAUGGAAGAA